rnacentral:rRNA from 1 species
GACGAACGCUGGCGGCGUGCUUAACACAUGCAAGUCGAACGGAAAGGCCCUGCUUUUGUGGGGUGCUCGAGUGGCGAACGGGUGAGUAACACGUGUGUAACCUGCCCUUGACUUUGGGAUAUCUUCAGGAAACUGGGGCUAAUAUCGGAUAGGAGCUCCUGCUGCAUGGUGGGGGUAGGAAAGUUUCGGCGGUUGGGGAUGGACUGGCGGCUUAUCAGCUUGUUGUGGGGGUUGUGGCUUACCAAGGCUUUGACGGGUAGCCGGCCUGAGAGGGUGACCGGCCACAUUGGGACUGAGAUACGGCGCAGACUCCUACGGGAGGCAACAGUGGGGAAUAUUACACAAUGGGCGGAAGCCUGAUGCAGCAACGCCGCGUGCGGGAUGACGGCCUUCGGGUUGUAAACCGAUUUCGCCUGUGACGAAGCGUGAGUGACGGUAAUGGGUAAAGAAGCACCGGCUAACUACGUG